GAUGAACGCUGGCGGCGUGCCUAAUACAUGCAAGUCGAGCGAACAGACGAGGAGCUUUCUCCUCUGACGUUAGCGGCGGACGGGUGAGUAACACGUGGAUAACCUACCUAUAAGACUGGGAUAACUUCGGGAAACCGGAGCUAAUACCGGAUAAUAUAUUUAACCGCAUGGUUCAAUAGUGAAAGACGGUUUUGCUGUCACUUAUAGAUGGAUCCGCGCCGCAUUAGCUAGUUGGUAAGGUAACGGCUUACCAAGGCGACGAUGCGUAGCCGACCUGAGAGGGUGAUCGGCCACACUGGAACUGAGACACGGUCCAGAUUCCUACGCGAGGCCGACGUGGGGAAUUUUCGACAUUGGGCGAAAGCCUGACGGAGCAAAGUCGCAUGUGUAAUGAAGGGCUUCGGAUAGAAACACUCUCUUAUUAGGGAAGAACAAAUGUGUAAGUAACUAUGCACGUCAUGACGGUAACUGAUCAGAACGCAACGGCGAACUACGUU
rnacentral:rRNA from 1 species